UACGUAGGCAGCGAGCGUUUGUUCGGAAUUACUGGGCGUAAAGAGUGUGUAGGCGGUGCUCCCAGUCUGUUGUGAAAUCUCCCGGCUUAACUGGGAGGGUGCAGCGGAAACUAGAGUGCUAGAGGGUGGGAGAGGUAAGCGGAAUUCCUGGUGUAGCGGUGAAAUGCGUAGAUAUCAGGAGGAACACCUGCGGUGUAGACGGCUUUCUGGACCAUUGCUGACGCUGAGACACGAAAGCGUGGGUAGCAAACAGG
rnacentral:rRNA from 1 species